UUUCACCAAAAAUAUUUAAAUAUUUUUCUCUUCCAUAUUUUGAAUUAAAAUUAUUUUUUGGAUUAAUUUUGGUAAUUUUCAUGAAUUAAAUGUUUUUGUUUAUAUUUUUAAUUGUUUAAAAAUACUUCUGAAUUUUUAUAAAUUGUGAAUUUUUUUGUCUAAGGUCCUUUGACAUUGUUUGACCUAGGAUAAAUCCCUUAGCCAUUUAUUUGGUGUGUUAAAGGUAU
rnacentral:lncRNA from 1 species